GACGAACGCUGGCGGCGUGCUUAACACAUGCAAGUCGAACGGAAAGGCCCUGCUUUUGUGGGGUGCUCGAGUGGCGAACGGGUGAGUAACACGUGAGUAACCUGCCCUUGACUUUGGGAUAACUUCAGGAAACUGGGGCUAAUACCGGAUAGGAGCUCCUGCUGCAUGGUGGGGGUUGGAAAGUUUCGGCGGUUGGGGAUGGACUCGCGGCUUAUCAGCUUGUUGGUGGGGUAGUGGCUUACCAAGGCUUUGACGGGUAGCCGGCCUGAGAGGGUGACCGGCCACAUUGGGACUGAGAUACGGCCCAGACACCUACGGGAGGCAGGAGUGGGGAAUAUUGCACAAUGGGCGGAAGCCUGAUGGAGCAACGCCGCGUGCGGGAUGACGGCCUUCGGGUUGUAAACCGCUUUCGCCUGUGACGAAGCGUGAGUGACGGUAAUGGGUAAAGAAGCACCGGCUAACUACGG
rnacentral:rRNA from 1 species